AUAUAUGACGUCGUUAUUAGGUCAUGUUUUCAACCAUGAUAUUACGUCCGUUUUCUAACGUCAUUUCAACGAAUCAAUUAAUUACGUUGAUUUUUGGUCAGUGGAUGGUUACAAUAUUUAACGUCAUUGUUAUGUCAUGGUUUUACCUAAAAUAUAACGUCCGUUUUCUGACGUCUUUUCAGCAACUCAACGUUGAAUUGUGGUCGGCUGUUGGUAAUUUACAUUACGUCGACAGUGUCAUGGUUUCGACCAAAAUAUAACGUCUAUUUUUCACUUAAUUUAUUCAGCAAAUAAAAAAGUCAUUAAACCGGAAUGCAUGUGCAACGUAGUAAUUCCCAAACGAAAUUAUCGGACGCCUUUUUAAUUUGAACGACUAAAAAAAAGACGUUGAAUUAUGGUCACCUAGCUGAUGGUUAUAAAUUUGAUGUCCAAUCGUUAUCAUCAUUGUUUUAACCGAAAUAUAUCGUCCAUUUUGAAGAUUUUUCCACUUAGCCGCAGCGCGCGCCUAUUAUAACUACUUGGCCCAGAGCCAAGUGCCGCGCGCGAAAAAACCAUAUAGCCAAAACGUAUUAGGCCUACACGUAAGCAUAUGUAUGCCCUGUGCGUGACCUUGCAUUCCAACGAACUCCACUGCUGUACGAGUCUGGCCAGUUUGAAUCAUCCGUUAAACCAACAGUCACAACUGAAGCAGCUUUGGGAAGAGACAUGUUGGCCCAAAAUGAACAAGGUUUUUGGCACCUUUUGUGCACAAUAUUGUCAAGAUUCGGUUCUGCGAUGGAGUGCAGUUAACAUUGGAGAUGUUCCCACCCCUGAUCUAUAAAUCCAAGUCAAGAUACGACAUCAAGAUAUAGGACAAGCACAAGUCAAGAUUUCGAUUGAACCGCAAGCAAGAUGAUCUGAUUUUGCCAUGUCUGAAAAUGCUCUCUGCUUUGGUCAGUUGAGGGAGACGAAUACACUACCCAAGCCCUACUUUACGUGGCCCCAUGCACCAUCAGGAUCAACAUCAACCGCCUGAUGUCUUCUAUACC